rnacentral:piRNA from 2 species
UGUGAUAAAAUAUCACGACCAGAAGCAACU